rnacentral:rRNA from 1 species
GAGGAAAGAGGGAGGGGGGAGGAAUAAAGGCAAGUCGAGCGAAAAGAUGAGGAGCUUGUUGGUCUGACGUUAGCGGCGGACGGGUGAGUAACACGUGGAUACCUACCUAUAAGACUGGGAUAACUUCGGGAAACCGGAGCUAAUACCGGAUAAUAUAUUGAACCGCAUGGUUCAAUAGUGAAAGACGGUUUUGCUGUCACUUAUAGAUGGAUCCGCGCCGCAUUAGCUAGUUGGUAAGGUAACGGCUUACCAAGGCAGCGAUGGGUAGCCGACCUGAGAGGGGGAUCGGCCACACUGGAACUGAGACACGGACAAGACUCCUACGGGAGGGAGCAGUAGGGAACCGGACGCAAUGGGCGAAAGCCUGACGGAGCAACGCCGCGUGAGUGAUGAAGGUCUUCGGAUCGUAAAACUCGGUUAUUAGGGAAGAACAAAUGUGUAAGGAAAUAUGCACGUCUUGACGGUACCGAAUAAGAAAGCCACGGCUAACUACGUA